rnacentral:lncRNA from 10 species
AUUUAAUGGACAAAAUAUUCAUUUCUAGAAUACACAAAAGAAUUUCUCAAAAAACAGUAAACGAACAGCAACCCGAUAGAAAAACGAGGAAAGAAUAUGAAUAAGCAGCUCCAGAAGAGGAAAUUCAGGUGGCCGGUAAACACAUGAAAAAGAUGCUCAUCUUCACUGGUCACCAGGAAAAUGUCCCAAACCUGCAAGCAACCCAAGUACUCAUCAGCAGGUGAAUAAACAAACUGG